GACGAACCGAGCGAACGUUGUUCGGAAUCACUGGGCUUAAAGGGCGCGUAGGCGGGCUGUCAAGUCUGGGGUGAAAUCCCGCGGCUCAACCGUGGAACUGCCUUAGAUACUGACGGCCUCGAGGGAGGUAGGGGCGAGCGGAACUGUGAGUGGAGCGGUGAAAUGCGUUGAUAUUCACAGGAACUCCGGUGGCGAAGGCGGCUCGCUGGACCUUUUCUGACGCUGAGGCGCGAAAGCUAGGGGAGCAAACGGGGAUUAAGAAACCC
rnacentral:rRNA from 1 species